CCCUUAGAUGUUCUGGGCCGCACGCGCGCUACACUGAUGCAUUCAACGAGUUUUUCCUGGUCCGAGAGGAAUGGGUAACCUUUUGAAAGUGCAUCGUGCUAGGGAUAGACUAUUGCAAUUAUUGGUCUUCAACGAGGAAUUCCUAGUAGACGUAGUUCAUCAGACUGCAUCGAUUACGUCCCUGCCCUUUGUACACACCGCCCGUCGCACCUACCGAUUGAAUGGUCCGGUGAAAUCUCGGGACGGCGGCUUGGUCGCUUGCGUCCGACUGCUGAAACUUGAUUAAACCAUAUCAUUUAGAGGAAGGUGAAGUCGUAACA
rnacentral:rRNA from 1 species